UGCGAAGGCCCCGAGCGUUAUCCGGAAUUAUUGGGCGUAAAGGGUGCGUAGGUGGUUUUGUGCGUCUCUUGUUAAAUUUCACUGCUCAACAGUGAAGCCGCAAGGGAAACGGCAGAACUAGAGGAUGCAAGAGGUCUGUAGAACUCACGGUGUAGGGGUGAAAUCCGUUGAUAUCGUGGGGAAUACCAAAGGCGAAGGCAGCAGACUGGUGCAUUUCUGACACUGAGGCACGAAAGCGUGGGGAGCAAAAAGG
rnacentral:rRNA from 1 species